rnacentral:rRNA from 1 species
AUUGAACGCUGGCGGCAGGCCUAACACAUGCAAGUCGAACGAGUGGCGGACGGGUGAGUAAUGUCUGGGAAACUGCCUGAUGGAGGGGGAUAACUACUGGAAACGGUAGCUAAUACCGCAUACCAUCGGAUGUGCCCAGAUGGGAUUAGCUAGUAGGUGGGGUAAAGGCUCACCUAGGCGACGAUCCCUAGCUGGUCUGAGAGGAUGACCAGCCACAAGGGAACUGAGACACGGUCCAGACUCCUACGGUAGGCAGCAGGGGGAAAUAUUGCACAAUGGGCGAAAGCUUGAUCCAGCCAUGGCGCGGGUGUGAAGAAGGUCUUCGGAUUGUAAAGCACUUUAAGUUGGGGGGCGUUACCAACAGAAUAAGCACCGGCUAACUUCGUGCCAGCAGCCGCGGUAAUUC